GCGCACCAGGCGAGAAACUUUACAAUGUGCGAAAGCACGAUAAGGGAACUCUGAGUGCCUCCUAAGGAGGCUGUUCAGGUGUCUAAAAGCACCUGGAGUAAGGGCUGGGUAAGACCGGUGCCAGCCGCCGCGGUAACACCGGCAGCCCAGGUGGUAGCCACUUUUAUUGGGUCUAAGGCGUCCGUAGCCGGUUGAGUAAGUUCCUUGGGAAAUUUGGGCUGCUCAACAGUCAAGCUUCCAGGGAAUACUGCUCGACUUGGGACUGGGAGAGGUCAGAGGUACUCCAGGGGUAGGGGUGAAAUCCAUUAAUCCCUGGGGACCACCGGUAGCGAAGGCGUCUGACCAGACCAGGUCCGACGGUGAGGGACGAAGGCUAGGGUCGCGAACCGGGAUUAGAUA
rnacentral:rRNA from 1 species